rnacentral:rRNA from 1 species
UACGGGGGGAGCAAGCGUUGUUCGGAUUUACUGGGCGUAAAGGGCGCGUAGGCGGCGUGACAAGUCACUUGUGAAAUCUCCGGGCUUAACCCGGAGCGGUCAAGUGAUACUGUCGUGCUAGAGUGCGGAAGGGGCUACUGGAAUUCUCGGUGUAGCGGUGAAAUGCGUAGAUAUCGAGAGGAACACCUGCGGCGAAGGCGGCAUCCUGGACCGACAUUGACGCUGAGGAGCGAAAGCUAGGGGAGCAAACGGG